AUUGAACGCUGGCGGCAGGCCUAACACAUGCAAGUCGAGCGGAUGAAGGGAGCUUGCUCCCGGAUUCAGCGGCGGACGGGUGAGUAAUGCCUAGGAAUCUGCCUGGUAGUGGGGGAUAACGUCCGGAAACGGGCGCUAAUACCGCAUACGCCCUGAGGGAGAAAGUGGGGGAUCUUCGGACCUCCCGCUAUCAGAUGAGCCUAGGUCGGAUUAGCUAGUUGGUGGGGUAAAGGCCUACCAAGGCGACGAUCCGUAACUGGUCUGAGAGGAUGAUCAGUCACACUGGAACUGAGACACGGUCCAGACUCCUACGGGAGGCAGCAGUGGGGAAUAUUGGACAAUGGGCGAAAGCCUGAUCCAGCCAUGCCGCGUGUGUGAAGAAGGUCUUCGGAUUGUAAAGCACUUUAAGUUGGGAGGAAGGGCAGUAAGUUAAUACCUUGCUGUUUUGACGGUACCAACAGAAUAAGCACCGGCUAACUUCGUG
rnacentral:rRNA from 1 species